UGAGAACUGAAUUCCAUGGGUUU
rnacentral:ncRNA from 3 species